AUCAGACAGUCAUUAGAAUCCCUUCUUGGAGCCCCUGAAUAAGCAAUGCAUGAAGCUGUGGGAGUGAGAUCAAAGCUGCCAUGGAGACCCCAGGAAGCCUGAGUUUCCAAGAAAAUGAACCCACUUCUGAGGAAAGUUUCAGGCAGUGAGCAGAGUCAUCCCAGGACAGAGGCACAGAGCUGGUAUAGGAUCCCACACAGCCUGCAGGUGGUCCCAAGAGCAAGCACUCUGAAGGAACAAGGGAAAGAUAAUCAGAUCCAUGCACACUUGCUGACCAGUAGUGGCAGAUCCUGUCCUGUGACAAAGACCUUAAAAAUAUCCCAAAUGCAAAAAAAAAAAAAAAAGACUGUAGAAAUUCCUGCCUUACCACCCCACUUUUACUGGACUGGCUGUACCCUCUGAAUAGGACAUGAAGACCACAGAGCUUGGUGAAUUAUGAUUUGAUUUGAACUCAAGUUAUGGAGCCAAAAACAUGUUUUGCAAUCUGCUGGACCAAAGUUAUUUACGGAUUGUUUUUUCCAGGCAAAAGAAAAAUUUUAAGGCAGGGAUACAUACCCGUUAACACAGGUCUUUGUCUCCAGGAAACCAGUUAUCACCACAAGGACAAAGAAAUGCACCAAGGCAGUGGUACUGAAAAGUAGGAGAGUCACAAAACUACUUCAAGAAAUGCAUGGAAUUAAGAUUGACAGUACAAAGUACCAAGAGGAUGGACAACUUUCUAAUGUAGAGUACUGUUUAUGAUCUUAUCAUAAAUUAUCCAUCAUCUAUGUAUAUAAAUACAUUUA